CCUACGGGUGGCAGCAGUGGGGAAUAUUGCACAAUGGGCGCAAGCCUGAUGCAGCCAUGCCGCGUGUGUGAAGAAGGCCUUCGGGUUGUAAAGCACUUUCAGCGGGGAGGAAGGCGUUAAGGUUAAUAACCUUGUCGAUUGACGUUACCCGCAGAAGAAGCACCGGCUAACUCCGUGCCAGCAGCCGCGGUAAUACGGAGGGUGCAAGCGUUAAUCGGAAUUACUGGGCGUAAAGCGCACGCAGGCGGUCUGUCAAGUCGGAUGUGAAAUCCCCGGGCUCAACCUGGGAACUGCAUUCGAAACUGGCAGGCUAGAGUCUUGUAGAGGGGGGUAGAAUUCCAGGUGUAGCGGUGAAAUGCGUAGAGAUCUGGAGGAAUACCGGUGGCGAAGGCGGCCCCCUGGACAAAGACUGACGCUCAGGUGCGAAAGCGUGGGGAGCAAACGGGAUUAGAUACCCCGGUAGUC
rnacentral:rRNA from 1 species